rnacentral:rRNA from 1 species
UACGAAGGGUGCAAACGUUGCUCGGAAUCAUUGGGCGUAAAGCGCACGUAGGCGGCUUCGCAAGUCGGGUGUGAAAUCCCUCGGCCCAACCGAGGAACUGCGCCCGAGACUGCUUCUCUUGAGUCCCGGAGAGGAAGAUGGAAUUCCCGGUGUAGCGGUGAAAUGUGUAGAGAUCGGGAGGAACACCGGUGGCGAAGGCGGUCUUCUGGACGGUGACUGACGCUGAGGCGCGAAAGCGUGGGGAGCAAACGGG